rnacentral:rRNA from 1 species
AGCGUACACGGUGGAUGCCCUGGCAGUCAGAGGCGAUGAAGGACGUGCUAAUCUGCGAUAAGCGUCGGUAAGGUGAUAUGAACCGUUAUAACCGGCGAUUUCCGAAUGGGGAAACCCAGUGUGUUUCGACACACUAUCAUUAACUGAAUCCAUAGGUUAAUGAGGCGAACCGGGGGAACUGAAACAUCUAAGUACCCCGAGGAAAAGAAAUCAACCGAGAUUCCCCCAGUAGCGGCGAGCGAACGGGGAGCAGCCCAGAGCCUGAAUCAGUGUGUGUGUUAGUGGAAGCGUCUGGAAAGGCGCGCGAUACAGGGUGACAGCCCCGUACACAAAAAUGCACAUACUGUGAGCUCGAUGAGUAGGGCGGGACACGUGGUAUCCUGUCUGAAUAUGGGGGGACCAUCCUCCAAGGCUAAAUACUCCUGACUGACCGAUAGUGAACCAGUACCGUGAGGGAAAGGCGAAAAGAACCCCGGCGAGGGGAGUGAAAAAGAACCUGAAACCGUGUACGUACAAGCAGUGGGAGCACGCUUAGGCGUGUGACUGCGUACCUUUUGUAUAAUGGGUCAGCGACUUAUAUUCUGUAGCAAGGUUAACCGAAUAGGGGAGCCGAAGGGAAACCGAGUCUUAACUGGGCGUUAAGUUGCAGGGUAUAGACCCGAAACCCGGUGAUCUAGCCAUGGGCAGGUUGAAGGUUGGGUAACACUAACUGGAGGACCGAACCGACUAAUGUUGAAAAAUUAGCGGAUGACUUGUGGCUGGGGGUGAAAGGCCAAUCAAACCGGGAGAUAGCUGGUUCUCCCCGAAAGCUAUUUAGGUAGCGCCUCGUGAAUUCAUCUCCGGGGGUAGAGCACUGUUUCGGCAAGGGGGUCAUCCCGACUUACCAACCCGAUGCAAACUGCGAAUACCGGAGAAUGUUAUCACGGGAGACACACGGCGGGUGCUAACGUCCGUCGUGAAGAGGGAAACAACCCAGACCGCCAGCUAAGGUCCCAAAGUCAUGGUUAAGUGGGAAACGAUGUGGGAAGGCCCAGACAGCCAGGAUGUUGGCUUAGAAGCAGCCAUCAUUUAAAGAAAGCGUAAUAGCUCACUGGUCGAGUCGGCCUGCGCGGAAGAUGUAACGGGGCUAAACCAUGCACCGAAGCUGCGGCAGCGACGCUUAUGCGUUGUUGGGUAGGGGAGCGUUCUGUAAGCCUGCGAAGGUGUGCUGUGAGGCAUGCUGGAGGUAUCAGAAGUGCGAAUGCUGACAUAAGUAACGAUAAAGCGGGUGAAAAGCCCGCUCGCCGGAAGACCAAGGGUUCCUGUCCAACGUUAAUCGGGGCAGGGUGAGUCGACCCCUAAGGCGAGGCCGAAAGGCGUAGUCGAUGGGAAACAGGUUAAUAUUCCUGUACUUGGUGUUACUGCGAAGGGGGGACGGAGAAGGCUAUGUUGGCCGGGCGACGGUUGUCCCGGUUUAAGCGUGUAGGCUGGUUUUCCAGGCAAAUCCGGAAAACUAAGGCUGAGGCGUGAUGACGAGGCACUACGGUGCUGAAGCAACAAAUGCCCUGCUUCCAGGAAAAGCCUCUAAGCAUCAGGUAACAUCAAAUCGUACCCCAAACCGACACAGGUGGUCAGGUAGAGAAUACCAAGGCGCUUGAGAGAACUCGGGUGAAGGAACUAGGCAAAAUGGUGCCGUAACUUCGGGAGAAGGCACGCUGAUAUGUAGGUGAAGUCCCUCGCGGAUGGAGCUGAAAUCAGUCGAAGAUACCAGCUGGCUGCAACUGUUUAUUAAAAACACAGCACUGUGCAAACACGAAAGUGGACGUAUACGGUGUGACGCCUGCCCGGUGCCGGAAGGUUAAUUGAUGGGGUUAGCGCAAGCGAAGCUCUUGAUCGAAGCCCCGGUAAACGGCGGCCGUAACUAUAACGGUCCUAAGGUAGCGAAAUUCCUUGUCGGGUAAGUUCCGACCUGCACGAAUGGCGUAAUGAUGGCCAGGCUGUCUCCACCCGAGACUCAGUGAAAUUGAACUCGCUGUGAAGAUGCAGUGUACCCGCGGCAAGACGGAAAGACCCCGUGAACCUUUACUAUAGCUUGACACUGAACAUUGAGCCUUGAUGUGUAGGAUAGGUGGGAGGCUUUGAAGUGUGGACGCCAGUCUGCAUGGAGCCGACCUUGAAAUACCACCCUUUAAUGUUUGAUGUUCUAACGUUGACCCGUAAUCCGGGUUGCGGACAGUGUCUGGUGGGUAGUUUGACUGGGGCGGUCUCCUCCUAAAGAGUAACGGAGGAGCACGAAGGUUGGCUAAUCCUGGUCGGACAUCAGGAGGUUAGUGCAAUGGCAUAAGCCAGCUUGACUGCGAGCGUGACGGCGCGAGCAGGUGCGAAAGCAGGUCAUAGUGAUCCGGUGGUUCUGAAUGGAAGGGCCAUCGCUCAACGGAUAAAAGGUACUCCGGGGAUAACAGGCUGAUACCGCCCAAGAGUUCAUAUCGACGGCGGUGUUUGGCACCUCGAUGUCGGCUCAUCACAUCCUGGGGCUGAAGUAGGUCCCAAGGGUAUGGCUGUUCGCCAUUUAAAGUGGUACGCGAGCUGGGUUUAGAACGUCGUGAGACAGUUCGGUCCCUAUCUGCCGUGGGCGCUGGAGAACUGAGGGGGGCUGCUCCUAGUACGAGAGGACCGGAGUGGACGCAUCACUGGUGUUCGGGUUGUCAUGCCAAUGGCACUGCCCGGUAGCUAAAUGCGGAAGAGAUAAGUGCUGAAAGCAUCUAAGCACGAAACUUGCCCCGAGAUGAGUUCUCCCUGACUCCUUGA